ACACAUGCAGUCGAGCGGCAGCACAGGGAGUUUACUCCCUGAGGUGGCGAGCGGCGGACGGGUGAGUAAUGCCUAGGGAUCUGCCCAGUCGAGGGGGAUAACAGUUGGAAACGACUGCUAAUACCGCAUACGCCCUACGGGGAAAGAGGGGGACCUUCGGGCCUCUCGCGAUUGGAUGAACCUAGGUGGGAUUAGCUAGUUGGUGAGGUAAUGGCUCACCAAGGCGACGAUCCCUAGCUGUUCUGAGAGGAUGAUCAGCCACACUGGGACUGAGACACGGCCCAGACUCCUACGGGAGGCAGCAGUGGGGAAUAUUGCACAAUGGGGGAAACCCUGAUGCAGCCAUGCCGCGUGUGUGAAGAAGGCCUUCGGGUUGUAAAGCACUUUCAGUAGGGAGGAAAGGGUGAGUCUUAAUACGGCUCAUCUGUGACGUUACCUACAGAAGAAGGACCGGCUAACUCCGUGCCAGCAGCCGCGGUAAUACGGAGGGUCCGAGCGUUAAUCGGAAUU
rnacentral:rRNA from 1 species